UAGUAUAAAAUAUUGUUGGCAUUCCAAAACCUACUAUACCAGCCGUGUGAAGUAUAAGGAAGUGUGAAGUAUAAGGAAUUGUUUCAAAGGAAGUGUGGUGUGGUUGCUUUGCUCUUUCGUACGUGUUGAAGAAUUUGUGGCUUUUUUUAGCAUGCAAGAUUGUUUAAUUGUAUUGUGGAGAAAAUGCUGUCAAAAGAAUAUUGCAGCUUGCUGCAAUGAUCAAAAGGUGAAGAUCGAAUAUUACUGUACACCUCUUCUCCUUCACAUGAUCAUUCCUUCUGUUGAAAACCAAAAAGAAAAGGAAGUUGCAUCUGGGUUUUCAGUUUUUCUAUUUCUCUCCUUCGUGGAGAACAUGCUAUGAAAGAGAAAAGGAAGAACAUGAGAACAUGCUAUGAAAGAGAAAAGGAAGAACAUGACAACGUGGUUUUCCAUUUCUUCUUAUGGAAACAUUGCUGUCAAAGAAGAAAGUAGGAAGCAACUACAUCUGGUUGCCAGCCAUCUCGUCUUGCCCACUCAAUGCAAUAUCCCCUUGAGAUGGAUCCGGUGCCUUGGUGAUUUGUUAGUAUUAACAUAUUGGCAAGGAGAGGAAAUAUCCAAUUGAGAUGGAUCCGGGUGAGGAAGAAAAUCUUGGAGAGGUAAUUAAUAUCCCCUUGAGAUGGAUCCGAGUGAGGAAGAAAAUCUUGGAGAGGUAAUUAAUAUCCCCUUGAGAUGGAUCCGAGUGAAGAAGAAAUGUGAAAGCAACCAUAUCUUUUCCUUGCUAUCCACUCAGUGUAAUCAUGAAGACCUUGCUGUCUAAAAUGAUAGUGGGAAGCAAGCAACUGGUGAUCAUUCAUACAUGAACUUAAAGACCAAGUAUGAUAGUUUGUUUAAUUGCAAGUAUGAUAGUUUGUUUAAUUGCUGUCGAAGACAGGUGGCCUUGUUCAUCUUCAUGUAAACCUUGCUGUCAAAGAUCAAAGUGGGAGACAAUUGCAGCAGGGUUUACCAUUUUAGUUGGUUAUCUUGCCGAAACACAAGGCCCUACUCCAACCAAGCUUCUAGCAACUUUGACAGAAUGGAAUUCCUUCUUCCUCCUAUAUAUACAUGGGUAUUCUGUUUGUUCUAUGUAUUGAAAUCGUAUUGAGUUUCAAUCCCUUGAUUGUAAAAGAGUCAGACUCUUUGUUGCUCUGUUUUGUGCCAUGUUGAAAACAGUUUGUGAGUCUGUCCAGUAAGGAUUGCAGCAGUCAUUGCAAUCCCACAGUUAAAUGUGUAGUCUGUCCAGUAAGGAUUGCAGCAGUCAGUGCAAUCCCAGAUUGUAAGUUAGUCAGUUCAGGAGGGAUUGCCGCGGUCAGUGCAAUACCUGAGUUGUAACUUUGUAAUCUGUUUUGAUUAGUGAAUCAUUGGGUUCUCAAGAGUUAGAGCCCCGCAGUGUUUUUGAUCUCAAUUGAGGUUUUCACUGCGUGACCAAGUUGUGUUGUGUUGUGGAAUUUUCUGUUCUCUGCCCAGUAUCCAAAACACGUUCAUCCUUGUAUUUACAAUUGGCAUCAGAGCGGGUUCUAAAGAGUUUUAGUUGAUCCGUGAUCAAGGAUGGAACAUCAACGUGACAGAGCCUCCAGCUCCAUUAACUGUCCACCAUUAUUUGAUGGAGAAGAUUACUCACAAUGGAAGAUUAUGAUGAGGGCAUUUCUCUACUCUCAAGAUGAAAAUAUGUGGAAUAUAGUAGAAAUUGGUUGGGAACAUCCAACCAUGGCAGAAGACUCCAAGAAAGAAGAAGUGAGUUCUGCAAGAAUUCCUAAGCCUAGAAAGGAAUGGACAAAGGAGGAGGUUCGUGACAGAAAUUGUGAUUUCAAGGCACGAAAUUCAUUAUUCAUAGCUCUAUCCAAGAAGGAGAGAAUGAGAAUCAGCCACUGUGACACUGCCAAACAAGCAUGGGAUCUUCUCCAAGUCACCUAUGAAGGUAAUAAAAAGGUUAGAGGGCAGAAACUUCAACGACUAGUUUUGGAAUUUGAGAAUAUGUCAAUGACUGAAGAUGAAUCAAUCGACGACUUUCAUGCUCGGCUUCUCAAUGUAACAAGUCAAUGUCGGAGCUUGGAUGAUCCAUUUGAGGAGCACCGAAUUGUCAAGAAGUUUCUUAGAUCUCUUCCUUCAAAAUUCCAGGCCAAACAGAUUGCCAUUGAGGAGGCUCAGGAUCUAGAUACCUACACUCUUGACGAACUGGUGGGAAAUCUCAAAACUUUUGAGAUGAGACUCAAACCGGAUAAAAAGGUAAAAGAUGUUGCUUUUUCUUCCAUUAAUGAUAAAGAUGAUAUUGUUGAUGAUUCUAUGGAUUUAACUUUGUUGACAAAAGAGUUUAAAAAAUUUCUGAAUGAUAAAAACUCAUUUGGAAACACCUCAAGAAACUUUUCUGACACAAAGAGAGGUCAAGAAUUUGAGAAUCGUUUUGAUAAAAAUUCAAAGUUUGCCAAAUUUGCUCAAAAGAAAAGUUUUCCUGACAAACCUAAAUGCUAUGAAUGUGGUGGAAUUGGACAUAUUGCUGCUAACUGUGGUAACAGGAGAUAUAAUUCACGUGGCGACAAAGCUUUAAAAUCCACAUGGAGUGAUAGUGAUGAAGGAUCUCAAUCGGAUUCUGAAGAGGUAAAUCUUGCUCUUACUUCUUCCCUUAAUAUUGAUUUAUCCGAUGAGUCUGAUAUUGAAGUUGAAGCUUUUGAUGAGGAGACGAAUGAAAAGUGUAAGCAAUUGUACAAUGCUUCAAAAAUUGUUCUUAAGAAAAAUUUCAAACUUAAGGAAGAAAUUGAGUCAUUAAGAAAAGAAAAAAAUGAAUCUGAGCUAAAUUUUGAUUCUUGCUUGAAAGAAUGGGAAGAAGAGCGUACUGACCUUGUUGAUAAGAUUAAAGUUUUGCAGGGUGAGGUCAAGUCUCAAGAUUGGGACAAGGAACAUGAUGAUCUUAUUAACAAGAUCAAAAUCUUGCAGGUUGAAGUUAAGGCUCAGUCUACUCUAAAUAUUUCACUAACAUUUGAAAAUGAAAAAUUGCAGGAUGAGCUAUCUAAAGUCAAGGAAAGCUUCAACAAAUUCUCUAUAGGGUCGGAAAAGGUCUCUAGGAUGAUUGGCUUUGGUAAAGCUCAUUCUAACAAAGAAGGAUUAGGGUAUGAAGGUGAGUCCUGCAAGCCCUUGACCUUUGUAAAAAGUCUGGAUUGUGAAAAUUCUUUGGGUCAGUCACAAACUUUAAAUGACAAUGAUUCUGAUACUAAGUUGCCCAGAAGAUCAAAACCAAAUUUAGACUUCCAAACCCAUCAGAGAGUUGCUCAGGUAAGUUCUAACAAGCACACAUGCGUGCAUCAGCCCAGGUAUGUUCACAACUCCAAAAGGUUCAUUCCCACUUGUCAUCACUGUGGUAAAAUAGGGCACAUUCGUCCUAGAUGUAAUUUGCUCCGCAGGGAAUCUCAAAAAUGCAGGAAACAGAAGGAACUCAGCUCUACAGCUUCUUUACAAGCUGAGUUGAAAGAACAUCUGAAGUUGAUAAACAGGAUUGCAGUGCGUAUUGCAAUCCCCAAAGAGCAGAAUUUGAAGCAGAAGCAAAUUUGGAUUAAAAAAGGUUCUAAUAAUUGUCUUUCUGCUCAUAUGGAUAAACUUGAUAACAUGUUUGAACUUGCUUCUGUUCCUAUUAAACACAAAUUGGCUGAUUCGGUUACUAAGUCCUUAGACACAGCUCGAUUUGAAUCUCUUAGAAGCGACAUUGGUGGGUGCUCUAAGUAUUGAUACUCUCACUUUACUUGAUCCAUUCUGCAUGCAUUCAUAUUGUAUGAUCUCAUUGUAGUAUAAGUGCAUUGCUCUUUUUAUUUCUGUAUUUUUUAUUUUUCUGGUUUCUGGAGAAUCAGGAUUGCAUGUGUGGUUUGUAUCCCGAAGUGUCUGACAGAUUCAUUUGAACUUAGAUUGACAAGGUUUCUACUCCCUUCCUUAAAUAUGAGUGUGAUGAGAUGAUUAGCAUGUUUUGAACUUGUUCUUGCAUCACUGUGUAAUCUCGAACAUGAUCAACAUAUUCUCUAUCACUUUGUAUGAUCACAUGCACACAUACUCCUUGUGGUGGUAAGUAAUAUUCUUGGUUGACUUGUUCUUAGUCUACACAUAUGAAGUUGUUAAAAUGUUAUUAUUGCUCCUAGUUAAAAAGGUACAAUAUAUUUGGAGCAUGGCCAGGCUAUUCCCAAAGUAAACAGGUCUUGGUCGUGACGAACGAUAUAAGGAUUGGGAAGAAAAGGGAAUGGUUUGGUCACCCCGGUGGUAUGUAAAACUAUUGACUCGAGUUGAUGUGUCCUUUGGGAUGUCCUUGUUACAUCUAGUACCCUAAAGUCAUCUGACUUGGGAGCUGCUGGCAUAAAACUCAUUACAUGAGUCUUAGUUUUCUUGUGAAAAACUAUAUGUUGUGUGAAAAGGUUAAAAAAAAAAAAAAAAAAAAAUUUAAAAUUGUGCCCACACGGAGAUAUAAGGGGGAAUAUCUAUGUUGUUCAUUUUUUCUCUUCUUAUGUGUGUUCUAAUUUCAAGGAUUCUAAGAAUGUUACACACUCCAUCUUGAGUUAUGUUCACUUACACAACAAAGGUAUAGAAUACUCGAUCAUCUUCCAGCUUACCUUGUGGUUGUCAAAAAUGGUUUACUCAUGUGACCUUAUCUUGUUGCAUUUAUGUUUAUGGUUUUGUGGUCGUACUCUUGUCUGAAAAGCUAUGCAAAUUGAAUCUGUUUUUAACUCUUGGAUACAAACCCACUCAUUGUGUGUUUGCAUUUCAUUCGUGCAUCCUUCAUAACAUGAUCCCAUUUAGGGGGAGUAUUGAUAUUUGGACUAUCUUCCUCUGAUUGUUUCUUCUUGGGUUGGUGUCUCUUGAGCAACAUCUACAGGUAAUUCUUCUUCUACAUUGCUUCCGCUACAUAGUUGCCUUUGUCAUUCCUAGACAAAAAGGGGGAGAAGAUAUUUGUUGACAUUUGGUUUUGUUUUCCUGGUUUAUGUUGCUUAAUUUGGCUAGACUUCUUUAUGGUUUGAACUAGUCGGUUAAAUUGCUACUACAUGACUUAUUGAAUUGCAGUUUUAUGUCUUGAUCAUAGUAUUUGUUUUUCACAAAGUGUGUGAUAAAGAUUUCAGGAACAGAGGAUUCUCUAGUACUACAUGAGGGGGAGUUGAUCUAGAUUAUAGUAGUUUUGUUUAGGAAUGCCAAAGGGGGAGAUUGUUAGUAUAAAAUAUUGUUGGCAUUCCAAAACCUACUAUACCAGCCGUGUGAAGUAUAAGGAAGUGUGAAGUAUAAGGAAUUGUUUCAAAGGAAGUGUGGUGUGGUUGCUUUGCUCUUUCGUACGUGUUGAAGAAUUUGUGGCUUUUUUUAGCAUGCAAGAUUGUUUAAUUGUAUUGUGGAGAAAAUGCUGUCAAAAGAAUAUUGCAGCUUGCUGCAAUGAUCAAAAGGUGAAGAUCGAAUAUUACUGUACACCUCUUCUCCUUCACAUGAUCAUUCCUUCUGUUGAAAACCAAAAAGAAAAGGAAGUUGCAUCUGGGUUUUCAGUUUUUCUAUUUCUCUCCUUCGUGGAGAACAUGCUAUGAAAGAGAAAAGGAAGAACAUGAGAACAUGCUAUGAAAGAGAAAAGGAAGAACAUGACAACGUGGUUUUCCAUUUCUUCUUAUGGAAACAUUGCUGUCAAAGAAGAAAGUAGGAAGCAACUACAUCUGGUUGCCAGCCAUCUCGUCUUGCCCACUCAAUGCAAUAUCCCCUUGAGAUGGAUCCGGUGCCUUGGUGAUUUGUUAGUAUUAACAUAUUGGCAAGGAGAGGAAAUAUCCAAUUGAGAUGGAUCCGGGUGAGGAAGAAAAUCUUGGAGAGGUAAUUAAUAUCCCCUUGAGAUGGAUCCGAGUGAAGAAGAAAUGUGAAAGCAACCAUAUCUUUUCCUUGCUAUCCACUCAGUGUAAUCAUGAAGACCUUGCUGUCUAAAAUGAUAGUGGGAAGCAAGCAACUGGUGAUCAUUCAUACAUGAACUUAAAGACCAAGUAUGAUAGUUUGUUUAAUUGCAAGUAUGAUAGUUUGUUUAAUUGCUGUCGAAGACAGGUGGCCUUGUUCAUCUUCAUGUAAACCUUGCUGUCAAAGAUCAAAGUGGGAGACAAUUGCAGCAGGGUUUACCAUUUUAGUUGGUUAUCUUGCCGAAACACAAGGCCCUACUCCAACCAAGCUUCUAGCAACUUUGACAGAAUGGAAUUCCUUCUUCCUCCUAUAUAUACAUGGGUAUUCUGUUUGUUCUAUGUAUUGAAAUCGUAUUGAGUUUCAAUCCCUUGAUUGUAAAAGAGUCAGACUCUUUGUUGCUCUGUUUUGUGCCAUGUUGAAAACAGUUUGUGAGUCUGUCCAGUAAGGAUUGCAGCAGUCAUUGCAAUCCCACAGUUAAAUGUGUAGUCUGUCCAGUAAGGAUUGCAGCAGUCAGUGCAAUCCCAGAUUGUAAGUUAGUCAGUUCAGGAGGGAUUGCCGCGGUCAGUGCAAUACCUGAGUUGUAACUUUGUAAUCUGUUUUGAUUAGUGAAUCAUUGGGUUCUCAAGAGUUAGAGCCCCGCAGUGUUUUUGAUCUCAAUUGAGGUUUUCACUGCGUGACCAAGUUG